UACGUAGGGCGCGAGCGUUGUCCGGAUUUAUUGGGCGUAAAGAGCUCGUAGGCGGUUUGUCGCGUCUGCCGUGAAAGUCCGGGGGCUCAACUCCGGAUCUGCGGUGGGUACGGGGCAGACUAGAGUGAUGUAGGGGGAGACUGGAAUUCCUGGUGUAGCGGUGAAAUGCGCAGAUAUCAGGAGGAACACCGAUGGCGAAGGCAGGGUCUCUGGGCAUUAACUGACGCUGAGGAGCGAAAAGCAUGGGGAGCGAACAGG
rnacentral:rRNA from 1 species